CUUCUUCGAUCUGCUGCGGGCAGAUGAAGUGGAUGUGCGUGUCGAUGCCGCCAGCGGUGACAAUCAUCCCCUCGCCCGCGAUGACCUCGGUACCCGGCCCGACGAUGAUCGUCACCCCCGGCUGGAUAUCCGGAUUACCCGCCUUGCCGAUUGCCGCGAUGCGCCCGUGCUUCAGCCCGAUAUCGGCCUUCACGAUGCCCCAGUGGUCGAUGAUCAGUGCGUUGGUGACCACCGUGUCGACGCAGUCCUUCGACAUGCGCUGGCUCUGGCCCAUGCCAUCGCGAAU
rfam:Cupriavidus metallidurans CH34, complete genome.